rnacentral:rRNA from 1 species
CCCGCUGAACUUAAGCAUAUCAAUAAGCGGAGGAAAAGAAACUAACAAGGAUUCCCCUAGUAACUGCGAGUGAAGCGGGAAAAGCUCAAAUUUAAAAUCUGGUGGCCUUUGGCCAUCCGAGUUGUAAUUUAGAGAAGCGUCUUCCGCGCUGGACCGUGCACAAGUCUCCUGGAAUGGAGCGUCGUAGAGGGUGAGAAUCCCGUCUUUGGCACGGACGCCCAGUGCUUCUGUGAUGCGCUCUCGAAGAGUCGAGUUGUUUGGGAAUGCAGCUCAAAAUGGGUGGUGAACUCCAUCUAAAGCUAAAUAUUGGCCAGAGACCGAUAGCGCACAAGUAGAGUGAUCGAAAGAUGAAAAGCACUUUGGAAAGAGAGUGAAACAGUACGUGAAAUUGUUGAAAGGGAAGCGCUUGUGACCAGACUUGGGCUCGGUGAAUCACCCGGCGUUCUCGCCGGGGCACUUUGCCAGUCCAGGCCAGCAUCAGUUCGCCGCGGGGGAUAAAGGCUUCGGGAAUGUGGCUCUUCGGAGUGUUAUAGACCGUUGCGUAAUACCCUGGGGCGGACUGAGGUUCGCGCUCCGCAAGGAUGCUGGCGUAAUGGUCAUCAGCGACCCGUCUUGAAACACGG